UACCUUGUAUUUGCCUAAAAUGUAAAGCCCUGCUGAGUGCUUGCCCUCAUGAAGUACAUGAAGAUUCUUCAAGAUAGCAAAAACUAUAUGCUUACCAUUUCUGUCAAAAAGAAGCAAUUAUUAGUGUUAGACAUUAGUGCACCUCAUAAUGUGAAUAGAACAAGUAUUCAUAUCAAAUCAAAAUUUGUUCUAGGAUAUUCUAUAUGUGUGCAUUGGCCUUAUGCCAAUAGGAUAUGUAGUUAGACUAGAUCUAUGUAUUCAUAUCCUUACCAUAUUGGUAUUGUGUAAUUCCCUAUAUAAAGGGCUCCUAUCAAUGAAUAAGAUGACUCUCUUGCUAUCUCUUUGUCUCUACACUUUAUUCUUCAUCACGUUAUCAUGCACUUUGUUCUAACCCUAGAGCCAAUAGCCCACCAUUUUUUUCCAAACCCUAAAAUUGGGCAGCCUUGUUUUUUCCGAUUUCCGACCAAAAUUCCGACUGCCCUCCGCCGGAAUUUUAUAUUCCCAGAAAGCUCUUUCCGUCACGGAUCCAACGCCGCCGGCCUCACCUUGAGAACCGGCCGGAAAGUCUCCGAACCGGCCGUCGGAAAAUUCCAGACCGCCGCCGCUACCGACCACCGGUUCACCACCUUCCCUUGCUCCGAUCAACUUGAAAUUUUGACAGAAGCUUCCCCAUCCAGAGCUGCUCCUCCUGUCAAAUUUUCAGCCCCNNNN
rnacentral:lncRNA from 1 species